GCCACCUUAGCUCAGCUGGUAGAGCAGCACUUUCGUAAAGCGAAGGUCCCGAGUUCAAAUCUCGGAGACGGCUCAA
rnacentral:tRNA from 1 species